rnacentral:rRNA from 1 species
CGACUCUCGGCAACGGAUAUCUCGGCUCACGCAUCGAUGAAGAACGUAGCAAAAUGCGAUACUUGGUGUGAAUUGCAGAAUCCCGUGAACCAUCGAGUUUUUGAACGCAAGUUGCGCCCGAAGCCAUUCGGUUGAGGGCACGUCUUCCUGGGCGUCACG